rnacentral:lncRNA from 1 species
CUCUGACAUCUUCAGCUUCAAUCGUGUUGUAGCUGUAGUUUCCCAUCUCAGCUGAAGUAAAGGGGGACAACAAGCCAAAUUAUAACUGUAAUGCUUCUAUUGGAAUUGCAAAGAUGGAUUUUACAAAAUUAACAAAAAAAAUUGAUAUCAUUUACCUUUGAAGACCUAGAGAUGUUCGAUUCUAAUGGCUAUGUUCAACAUGCAAGAUAGGAGCAAUUAAUGUUGCAAAAAAGAAUGAGUUAAGUUAAAAUGCAGUGGGUAAACAGGCUAACUCACAGUUAAUUAAUGAUAAUUUUCUGCGUACAUACACAUUUGAACAAUUUUGCCCCAAUUUAAACGAGGAGUUAUAUUGAAAACCAUGCCUUUAGGAAUGUUCAGGAGUUGAGAUUGAGACAAUGAUUAUAACCUCACUUUGCUGUGAUUGUUUACAUUUGGCGCGAACUGAUAAGGCGCAAGUUUGUUAUUUGUACUUUUGUAGAAAGCACCAACUCGCUAGAGACAACUCGCUACAUUUUUGUCAAAUAAAAAAAUCAAUUUAAAAAAGGCUCCUGGUAGUCUCACAGUAAAAUAAAAAACUUUGAUAUUUAGAAAACUUGUAUACAAGAAUUUUCGUGGCCUUAUAUCUUAAAUUUUGAAAUUUACGUCCAUUCUACUCCUGUAGGGGACUCGAUUUGAGUUGGUAUGCUUGAAAAUAGUUCAAAAGGUUUUCUUUAGAUAGCGCUUUUCCACGUUGAUAAUGGAAAUUGAUAAUUACAGUUUGUUUACGAAGACAAUGUGGUUUUGCUUCUGCUAAAUGCUCUGCUUCCCUCUUUACACUAAUAAGUUUUUUGAUUCAUCUGCAAGGAAUUCUCGUUGCCAGAGUUUCUACUUAUUAGAUUAAAUUUCCACCGAUAAAGAUACAUCAGUCAAUCAUUGGAAAUGGCGCUCGACUUAGAAACCCUAAAUGGACAAAUCUCAUCAAUGAGAGGCUCUGUAAAGCAAGUCAAAACUCAUUUGAUAAACAAGUUGACUCGUGAAGCCAAGAAAUUGCGCGAGAAGAAAGGAACGGAGGAGCAAAAAAAGCAGAAUCAAAAGAAGGCAGAUCGUUUCAUCGAAGAAGUCAUGCUUAUGAAGAAAAUUUUACCAGAUGAUGUCUCAAAAUUUGUUUUGAAAACAGAAAAUUGUGAAAGUGUUAUCAGUAAGCCAAAUAUACCCUUGAAACCAAAGUUCUGGCUAGAUUUGGUACUCAUAAAAUCAUGGUUUCUGUCAUUGACAAAUUUCGUUCCGAACAUCCAACAUGGAAAGAAGUCAUGGAGGAUCUGGUCCAGAAGGUUGUGAGUAGACCAAAACAGACCAUCUCUGCUCAGAACACUUCUAUCAACUGUAGUGUAAUAAGGACCCCAGGGAACAACAUUUUCUCUGUCACCCCUGUGAAGCACAUUGCAAGUGAUAAUUCCCAUCAUAAUCAGUCCCCAAAAAAUAAGCAAAGCACACUAAUUUCUACUAAAGCUAAAAAAGUGUUCUGACAGAUCAAGUGAACCCGAAAUUUAAAGAAAGUGGCAAGGGAAAAAUUCCCUCAAAGAUGAGCAGUGUUGAUAGCUCCCUGAGACCUACAAAUCUACCCAAUUCCAGCGAUAAGGAAACUAGAAAACGUAAAAGUUUUAUGGAUUCCUCCUCUGAUGAAGAUCUAGAGAGUGGAAAUAGUGAUGAAUUUGACCGAGAGACAUUUCAGAAAGCUUUCAAGCGGCAAAAAUCUGAAAACGAAAGUGAGGAUAGUGAAGAAAGUGGUGAAGAGGAAGAAAGUAGUGAAGACAGUAUGGGAGAGAAUGGGGGAGGUGUUGCAGAAGAUAGUGAUGAA